rnacentral:piRNA from 1 species
UAGAAGGGGAGACCUUUCAUUCCAGGAUUC